CCCCUCUCAGGGUUGCACCUGGAGAGUUUCCAGUACUCUCCCAGUCUCGACUACGGGAGGGAAAGUCAAGCAGAGGCACGCCCAUUCCAUUUCUAGCUUGGGCAGUGGCUAGCGAGUGGAAGGCGAUCUGCUACGAGU
rnacentral:snoRNA from 1 species